AUUGAACGCUGGCGGCAUGCCUAACACAUGCAAGUCGAACGGCAGCACAGUAGGUAGCAAUACCUAUGGGUGGCGAGUGGCGGACGGGUGAGUAAUGCUUAGGAAUCUGCCUUGUGGUGGGGGAUAACUAACCGAAAGGUUAGCUAAUACCGCAUACGCCCCUACGGGGAAAGCGGGGGAUCGAAAGACCUCGCGCCAUUAGAUGAGCCUAGGUCGGAUUAGCUAGUUGGUGGGGUAAAGGCUCACCAAGGCGACGAUCCGUAACUGGUCUGAGAGGAUGAUCAGCCACACUGGAACUGAGACACGGUCCAGACUCCUACGGGAGGCAGCAGUGGGGAAUAUUGGACAAUGGGCGCAAGCCUGAUCCAGCCAUACCGCGUGGGUGAAGAAGGCCUUCGGGUUGUAAAGCCCUUUUGUUGGGAAAGAAAUCCAGCUGGCUAAUACCCGGUUGGGAUGACGGUACCCGAAGAAUAAGCACCGGCUAACUUCGUGCCAGCAGCCGCCGUAA
rnacentral:rRNA from 1 species